rnacentral:lncRNA from 1 species
UACGCGAUAACUGUAAGGUACCAGACUUCUAAAAUAAUGAAGUUACUGUUUAUAUUGGUUUGGAGAGCGAUUGGAAUGAUUCCGGUGAAGGUUGGAAGCAUUCGGGCGUUUUCGGUGCACGUAGGCGCGAAAACGGAACCCGAAAGUCUAUGUUAGACCAUGGACUAAAUCCGGCAUUAGCGUGGAUGAAAAGAUGAUGAAAACGUGCUCGAAAACAUGUUUGGAGAGUCUCGGUUCGAUUUGAAAAGAAUCAAAGGCCAAACGAGCGAAAAAGAGCGAAAACAGAGCAAAAACGAAAAAGGCUAAAAUUUGGCUAAGUCUGGAAAUUC